CAUCGUGAGGUGGAAUCUGAAGGAAGCCGGCGGCAAACAUCUGGCCUGACGUACAGAAACUUGAUUGAUAUAAGACAGGUGGGCAUAGAUGAGAUUACCAAACGAAUUAAAGUCCGAUAGCUAUACGGAAAUGCCCUGAGUAAAUUAAGUAGGUAUAAGGUGAG
rnacentral:ncRNA from 1 species